rnacentral:rRNA from 1 species
AGGACGAACGCUGGCGGCGUGCUUAACACAUGCAAGUCGAGCGGAAAGGCCCUUCGGGGUACUCGAGCGGCGAACGGGUGAGUAACACGUGAGUAAUCUGCCCCUAGCUCUGGGAUAGCUCCGGGAAACCGGGAUUAAUACCAGAUACGACCACUUUAGACAUCUUCUGUGGUGGAAAGAACUUCGGCUAGGGAUGAACUCGCGGCCUAUCAGCUUGUUGGUGAGGUAACGGCUCACCAAGGCGACGACGGGUAGCCGGCCUGAGAGGGCGACCGGCCACACUGGGACUGAGACACGGCCCAGACUCCUACGGGAGGCAGCAGUGGGGAAUAUUGCGCAAUGGGCGAAAGCCUGACGCGGCGACGCCGCGUGGGGGAUGAAGGCCUUCGGGUUGUAACCCCUUUCAGCAGGGACGAAGCGAAAGUGACGGUACCUGCAGAAGAAGCGCCGGCUAACUACGUGCCAGCAGCCGC